CUCAGAGGAUCCAUCCAUCGCUUCAAGGCUGAACAAGUUGGUUAUUCCUGCACUAUAUUCAUGUAUAUUGGGGGGCAGGUUCUUAAACCAUCUGGAGGAGUCUGCUCUACAAGUGCCUUGGUCCAAUGUGUAUAAAGCCUAAUUGUGGACUCUGCUUGAGGCCAGUAGGACUGAUGGAUGGAGGAUCUUUCCCUGAGGACUAGAAGUGUUUUACAGAUGACAAAGAGAAUUAUGAAGGACACGAUCACAAUUAACUGCUGCUCAACCAAGUUCUGGUUUGGGGGUGGAAGAAUACCUUUAAAAAAACCAACAACCCAGGAAUUAAUUCAUGCACUAACUAAACAAUGUGGCCAAAAUAUGAAGGAAGACUGAUUUCCACUACAAUCCUUCCCUCCAUCGUUUUCGAAAACAUUUGUGGCACAAAGGCAAGAAGAUCCAGAAGUGCAAAGGACAUAACCCACCAACUACUGAAUGAAAGUUGAAACAGCAUCAUGCAGCUGAAGUCUAUAAUUGGACCCAAUGGCUUUAAUUUUAAUUCAGGAAAAUAAUGGCUUUAAUUUUAAUUCAAGGAAAGAAAUUGGCACCACAGAAUCUAAUAUUAA